rnacentral:rRNA from 1 species
UACAGAGGGUGCAAGCGUUAAUCGGAGUUACUGGGCGUAAAGGGCGCGUAGGUGGUUGUUUAAGUGAGAUGUGAAAGCCCUGGGCUUAACCUAGGAACUGCAUCUUAUACUGGGCAACUGGAGUACUGUAGAGGGUAGUGGAAUUUCCGGUGUAGCGGUGAAAUGCGUAGAGAUCGGAAGGAACACCAGUGGCGAAGGCGGCUACCUGGACAGAUACUGACACUGAGGCGCGAGAGCGUGGGGAGCAACAGG